rnacentral:lncRNA from 1 species
UCCGCCUCCAUUCUUAUAUCUUCUUGACCUUCUCUCUUCAGUUAUAACCAUUAUACAAAGUUUCGUGUAAAACCGAGACCACAUUUGUGAUCGUUGUGAUCUUCUCUUUCAUUUCCAACUUGAAUUGCAAACUUAAACGCCCUAUUCCUCUUUGUCAAAAAUCACACCUCCACCUUUUGAUCAAGAUUCCGGCCACCACGACUAUCCCCAAUGAAAACUGAGACCAUAUUUGGACUCCACAAAACACCCUCUUCCAUUACCUUUGCUUGAAAUUGCCAAUCGUUAUACUUAAAAAAAUAAGUUUUCACCCUCGCCGCGGCUGUGUUGCCAAACUCCGGCCAACACGUUCAUCAUCUUGAAAAACUGACAUCAUUUUUGGAUUCCUCUCGUCGAAACCUUCAAGAAGCACUACUCAUUUGUGUGUUUCGGUGAAGUUGAUGCCGGACCCUGUCGGCGCCCCAGUACGUCGGUGAGACCUUUUCUAAUAACAUGUUUCACGAUGUUUUGAAUAUGUUUCUUCGCCUAAUAUUUUUAUUAAUUAUAUAAUGCUGAUUUUUAUGCCUCGGGAAAAUUAUCAGCCAUGUUUCAUUGACUCUGCAAAUUGGUCGAUGCUUUGGACUCGUUUGGACGUGUUGUCGACAUCUCAUGGUUGCUGAAAAUCAUUAUGGUCCUUCUAUCUUAUGAAAGCGUCAAAUUGAGGUAUGGGGUGAGAGUGAGUUCGAAUGCAUGAGUAUAAAUUAAGUGAGAUGAACGGGAAUACCGUAUUUCCCACAAUUCAUUCGGG